rnacentral:rRNA from 1 species
AGCAGCCGCGGUAAUUCCAGCUCCAAUAGCGUAUAUUAAAGUUGUUGCAGUUAAAAAGCUCGUAGUUGAAUUUCGGGGUCGGUAGGUUGGUCAUGCCUCUGGUAUGCACUGGUCUCACUGAUUCCUCCUUCCUGAUGAGCCGUAAUGCCAUUAAUUUGGUGUUGCGAGGAAUCUGGACUGUUACUUUGAAAAAAUUAGAGUGUUUAAAGCAAGCUGACGCUUGAAUACAUUAGCAUGGAAUAAUGGAAUAGGACGUUCGAUCCUAUUUUGUUGGUUUCUAGGAUUGACGUAAUGAUUAAUAGGGAUAGUUGGGGGCAUUAGUAUUCAAUUGUCAGAGGUGAAAUUCUUGGAUUUAUUGAAGACUAACUACUGCGAAAGCAUUUGCCAAGGAUGUUUUCAUUAAUCAAGAACGAAAGUUAGGGGAUCGAAGACGAUCAGAUACCGUCGUAGUCUUAACCAUAAACUACUGCCGACUAGGGAUCGGAGUGAUGUUUAAUUUUUUAAUUAGUACUCAUUC